rnacentral:rRNA from 1 species
AGAUGGCGUAAGCUAUCCGCUUUUGGAUGGACCCGCGGCGUAUUAGCUAGUUGGUGAGGUAACGGCUCACCAAGGCGAUGAUACGUAGCCGAACUGAGAGGUUGAUCGGCCACAUUGGGACUGAGACACGGCCCAAACUCCUACGGGAGGCAGCAGUAGGGAAUCUUCCACAAUGGACGCAAGUCUGAUGGAGCAACGCCGCGUGAGUGAAGAAGGCUUCGGGUCGUAAAACUCUGUUGUUGGAGAAGAAUGGUCGGCAGAGUAACUGUUGUCGGCGUGACGGUAUCCAACCAGAAAGCCACGGCUAACUACGUGCCAGCAGCCGCGGUAAUACGUAGGUGGCAAGCGUUAUCCGGAUUUAUUGGGCGUAAAGCGAGCGCAAGGCGGUUUUUAAGUCUGAUGUGAAAGCCCUCGGCUUAACCGAGGAAGCGCAUCGGAAACUGGGAAACUUGAGUGCAGAAGAGGACUGUGGAACUCCAUCUGUAGCGGUGAAAUGCGUAGAUAUAUGGAAGAACACCAGUGGCGAAGGCGGCUGUCUGGUCUGUAACUGACGCUGAGGCUCGAAAGGCAUGGGUAGCGAACAGGAUUAGAUACCCUGGUAGUCCAUGCCGUAAACGAUGAAUGCUAGGUGUUGGAGGGUUUCCGCCCUUCAGUGCCGCAGCUAACGCAUUAAGCAUUCCGCCUGGGGAGUACGACCGCAAGGUUGAAACUCAAAGGAAUUGACGGGCGGCCCGCACAAGCGGUGGAGCAUGUGGUUUAAUUCGAAGCAACGCGAAGAACCUUACCAGGUCUUGACAUCUUUUGAUCACCUGAGAGAUCAGGUUUCCCCUUCGGGGGCAAAAUAACAGGUGGUGCAUGGUUGUCGUCAGCUCGUGUCGUGAGAUGUUGGGUUAAGUCCCGCAACGAGCGCAAACCCUUAUGACUAGUUGCCAGCAUUGAGUUGGGCACUCUAGUAAGACUUGCCGGUGACAAACCGGAGGAAG